UGGGGAAUAUUGCACAAUGGGCGCAAGCCUGAUGCAGCCAUGCCGCGUGUGUGAAGAAGGCCUUCGGGUUGUAAAGCACUUUCAGCGGGGAGGAAGGCGAUAAGGUUAAUAACCUUGGCGAUUGACGUUACCCGCAGAAGAAGCACCGGCUAACUCCGUGCCAGCAGCCGCGGUAAUACGGAGGGUGCAAGCGUUAAUCGGAAUUACUGGGCGUAAAGCGCACGCAGGCGGUCUGUCAAGUCGGAUGUGAAAUCCCCGGGCUCAACCUGGGAACUGCAUUCGGAACUGGCAGGCUAGAGUCGUGUAGAGGGGGGUAGAAUUCCAGGUGUAGCGGUGAAAUGCGUAGAGAUCUGGAGGAAUACCGGUGGCGAAGGCGGCCCCCUGGACAAAGACUGACGCUCAGGUGCGAAGGCGUGGGGAGCAAACAGG
rnacentral:rRNA from 1 species